GAAGAAAUCUCUGCAGAACAAGGAAUAUCCAGGGCUGGAUACUCCAGCUCAACCCGUCAGCCACUCUACAAUGAUUCAAGACUUUUAUGUUCUCCACUGAGAUUUCAUGAUUAUAUUCAUCACAGCUCCAGGAGGCUGGCCCGAGCCAGGCGAGGCAAAGAAGCAAGCAUUCCGCCAGGCUGUUCACACUGCUCGCUCUCAGCAGCCACCACCCUGGGACUGGGGGACUCCGGCAGGGCUGAGAGGACUGGGUGCCCCCAUCUUGUGGCUAUGGGCGCUGCCAUCUUUGUGACAGAAUGAUGGUUAAUUUGCAUAUUGUCCUUUUAUUAGAUAGGAUGGUAAGGGAGGUGGCAGGGCAAUGCACAAAUCUCAAGGCAGAGGAAUGUUUGAGGAGGAAAAACAUACAUGUUUUCUAUAUACCCUUUGUUUUCAUAAUACUAAUUACAGAAGGGAAAGCUCAAACAACUUGUAUCUCAGGGCCUUCGUUCCUCAACCUGACUGAAUUCAUUGUUCCAGAGAAGUAGACAGGUUUCUUCCUUUGGACCUUAGGCCCUUGGGGGCGGGGGGGGGAGGGGGUUAAUACAAGAGAGCAUCCAAUCCUUUUGCUCACUUAACAUCCAUAGUUUGAAGAAGGUCUCCAGAUAAUAUAUGCAGUGCAUUUUAAAUGUAUAAGACUACCAGGCACAGUUAACCAAGUUCCAUUAAGAAUGGUCUAAAUUCAUGCUAGGUUUUUAUAUAUUGUAUCAUCUCCUAAUCACUAGAUACAAAAAUGUAAUUGCUAUGAGAUGGGCAUCAUAUAUAUAUUUAUGCGUUGGUGUGUUUUCUGUGCAGACACAGAGACUCUACUCAGGACUGUGUUUUUCUUAUCUUCUCCAGACUGAUAGUAAUUGCUAAUAUGCAAUCAGGAGUUUAGUUAUUUUCACACCUUCCUAUUAAGAAGCAGAAAAUUCAUAAAUAUUUACCAGAUUGUUGCAUGUGACAUGUAAUUUCUUCUCUCCCCAUAAAUUACAAAAUGUU